ACUCCUACGGGAGGCAGCAGUGGGGAAUAUUGCGCAAUGGGCGGAAGCCUGACGCAGCGACGCCGCGUGGGGAUGACGGCCUUCGGGUUGUAAACCUCUUUCGCCAGGGACGAAGCUUUUGUGACGGUACCUGGAGAAGAAGCACCGGCCAACUACGUGCCAGCAGCCGCGGUAACACGUAGGGUGCGAGCGUUGUCCGGAAUUAUUGGGCGUAAAGAGCUCGUAGGCGGUGUGUCGCGUCGGCCGUGAAAACUUGGGGCUUAACUCUGAGCGUGCGGUCGAUACGGGCAUCACUUGAGUUCGGCAGGGGAGACUGGAAUUCCUGGUGUAGCGGUGAAAUGCGCAGAUAUCAGGAGGAACACCGGUGGCGAAGGCGGGUCUCUGGGCCGAUACUGACGCUGAGGAGCGAAAGCAUGGGGAGCGAACAGGAUUAGAUACCCUGGUAGGCUCUGC
rnacentral:rRNA from 1 species